rnacentral:rRNA from 1 species
GACGAACGCUGGCGGCGUGCUUAACACAUGCAAGUCGAACGGAAAGGCCCUGCUUUUGUGGGGUGCUCGAGUGGCGAACGGGUGAGUAACACGUGAGUAACCUGCCCUUGACUUUGGGAUAACUUCAGGAAACUGGGGCUAAUACCGGAUAGGAGCUCCUGUAGCAGGGUGGGGGUGGGAAAGUUUCGGCGGUUGGGGAUGGACUAGCGGCUUAUCAGCUUGUUGGUGGGGUAGUGGCUUACCAAGGCUUUGACGGGUAGCCGGCCUGAGAGGGUGACCGGCCACAUUGGGACUGCGGUACGGCCCAGACUGCUACGGGAGGCAGCAGUGGGGAAUAUUGCACAAUGGGCGGAAGCCUGAUGCAGCAACGCCGCGUGCGGGAUGACGGCCUUCGGGUUGUAAACCGCUUUCGCCUGUGACGAAGCGUGAGUGACGGUAAUGGGUAAAGAAGCACCGGCUAACUACGUG